rnacentral:rRNA from 1 species
UACGGGGGGGGCAAGCGUUGUUCGGAAUUACUGGGCGUAAAGGGCUCGUAGGCGGCCCACUAAGUCAGACGUGAAAUCCCUCGGCUUAACCGGGGAACUGCGUCUGAUACUGGAUGGCUUGAGGUUGGGAGAGGGAUGCGGAAUUCCAGGUGUAGCGGUGAAAUGCGUAGAUAUCUGGAGGAACACCGGUGGCGAAGGCGGCAUCCUGGACCAAUUCUGACGCUGAGGAGCGAAAGCCAGGGGAGCAAACGGG